UACGUAGGGUGCAAGCGUUGUCCGGAAUUAUUGGGCGUAAAGAGCUCGUAGGCGGUUUGUUGCGUCGGCUGUGAAAUCCCGAGGCUCAACCUCGGGUCUGCAGUCGAUACGAGCAAACUAGAGUGUUGCAGGGGAGACUGGAAUUCCUGGUGUAGCGGUGAAAUGCGCAGAUAUCAGGAGGAACACCGAUUGCGAAGGCAGCUCGCUGGAACGUUACUGACGCUGAGACGCGAAAGCGUGGGGAGCAAACAGG
rnacentral:rRNA from 1 species